rnacentral:tRNA from 1 species
UGACAUACCAGAUCGUCUUGA